rnacentral:misc_RNA from 1 species
ACUCUUGUCAUGUUAGUAUCUGAUAUAUGUCUUAUCAUUAUAAUAUUAUGUUACAAUUUGUCAAGUUAAAAUGGUAUCUUUUCACUGUCAGUAAAAUUUCUGAAGAGCAUUUCUUUUUGCUUACUGAUCCUAUACAAGUCUUGAACUUUGCUAUAAUUUUCAAUUCUAUCUUGUUCUCUUAAUUAUCAAUUUAGUGCACAUAUUUCAAAAUCGAUGGCAACUGUAUCCAAGGGGUGGAAAUCACGGCUAAGGCAUAUGUCUAUGCCGAAGCGGCAUUGAAUUAUCAAGGUAACAUAAAGGUGUUGGCUGAUUGGGGUUACAAUUAACAAAUGGGCCCAUGUGAUGUGUUUAAACCAACUAUUGUGGUUCAUUGGGAUUACAACCAAUGAGUGGGCCCAUAUGUUUCAAAAUGCCAUUGCACGGU